ACCAAAUCAACCAUAGGUCCAAGAACAAUUGUCUCUGGACGGCAGCUAUGCGACUCACAGUGCUGUGUGCUGUGUGCCUGCUGCCUGGCAGCCUGGCCCUGCCGCUGCCUCGGGAGGCGGGAGGCAUGAGUGAGCUACAAUGGGAAGAGGCUCAGGACUAUCUCAAGAGAUUUUAUCUCUAUGACUCAGAAACAAAAAAUGCCAACAGUUUAGAAGCCAAACUCAAGGAGAUGCAAAAAUUCUUUGGCCUACCUAUAACUGGAAUGUUAAACUCCCGCGUCAUAGAAAUAAUGCAGAAGCCCAGAUGUGGAGUGCCAGAUGUUGCAGAAUACUCACUAUUUCCAAAUAGCCCAAAAUGGACUUCCAAAGUGGUCACCUACAGGAUCGUAUCAUAUACUCGAGACUUACCGCAUAUUACAGUGGAUCGAUUAGUGUCAAAGGCUUUAAACAUGUGGGGCAAAGAGAUCCCCCUGCAUUUCAGGAAAGUUGUAUGGGGAACUGCUGACAUCAUGAUUGGCUUUGCACGAGGAGGUAAGAAAGAUUCCUGUAGGCUAAUCCUGUGUCCUGUUUUGUUUGUUCAUGGUUUAUAUCAGUGCUCUUUUCUUAUGAGGGUUAAAAUCCUUUAAUGAGAUAUGAUUGAUUGAUAGAUAAUAGAUUCAGCAAUAUUAUUACAAUUUUUAUAAUCUGGUAAUAUAGAGCCACUUUUUACAGCAGCAGUUGGCAAACUAUGACGCAUGAGCCAAAUCCAGCCCACCUUCUGUUUUUGUAAAUAAAGUUUUACUGGAACACAGUCAGGCUCCUUCAUUUCCCUAUUAUCUAUGACUGUUUGGGCUCAGGCUGCAAUUGUGACAGAGAUCACAACGCUUAAACACUGGUUAUCUGACCCUUUACAGAAAAAGUUUGCCAACCCCUGUUUUGUAAUGUGAAUUAUUAUUUAGAUAUACAGUCAUGCACUGCUUAACAAUGGGAAUACAUUCUGAGAAAUGAGACCUUUGGCAAUCUUGUCAUUGUGCUAACAUCAUAGAGUACACUUAUACAAACCCAGGUAAUACAGCCCACUAU
rnacentral:sRNA from 1 species